CGUGUAGGCGGAACGAUAAGUCAGAGGUGAAAUCUUACAGCUUAACUGUGAACCUGCUUUUGAAACUGUCGUUCUUGAGUUCGGGAGAGGAAAGUGGAAUUCCUGGUGUAGCGGUGAAAUGCGUAGAUAUCAGGAAGAACACCAGUAGCGAAGGCGGCUUUCUGGCCCGAUACUGACGCUGAGACGCGAAAGCGUGGGGAGCAAACA
rnacentral:rRNA from 1 species